rnacentral:rRNA from 1 species
CACGUAGGGCGCGAGCGUUGUCCGGAAUUAUUGGGCGUAAAGAGCUCGUAGGCGGCCUGUUGCGUCCGCUGUGAAAGCCCGGGGCUUAACCCCGGGUCGGCAGUGGAUACGGGCAGGCUAGAGGUAGGUAGGGGAGAAUGGAAUUCCCGGUGUAGCGGUGAAAUGCGCAGAUAUCGGGAGGAACACCGGUGGCGAAGGCGGUUCUCUGGGCCUUCCUGACGCUGAGGAGCGA